AUACGUAGGUGGCAAGCGUUGUCCGGAUUUACUGGGUGUAAAGGGCGAGUAGGCGGGGAUGCAAGUCAGAUGUGAAAUACCGAGGCUUAACUUCGGGGCUGCAUUUGAAACUGCAUUUCUUGAGUGAUGGAGAGGCAGGCGGAAUUCCCGGUGUAGCGGUGAAAUGCAUAGAGAUCGGGAGGAACACCAGUGGCGAAGGCGGCCUGCUGGACAUUAACUGACGCUGAGGCGCGAAAGUGUGGGGAGCAAACAGGAUUAGAUACCCUGGUAGUCCACACCGUAAACGAUGGAUACUAGGUGUGGGGGGUCUGACCCCCUCCGUGCCGGAGUUAACACAAUAAGUAUCCCACCUGGGGAGUACGAUCGCAAGAUUGAA
rnacentral:rRNA from 1 species